GGCCGGGCGUCCACACCCGACUGGGUCUCGGAGGGUCCCCAGCCCGGACUCCGGAGAGCCCUCAGCUCAGAUUCCAUCCUCAGCCCGGCCCCAGAUGCCCGUGCGGCCGACCCAGCUGCAGAAGUGAGGAAGGUGAACCGCAUCCCACCUGAUGCCUACCAGCCUUACCUGAGCCCCGGGACCCCCCAGCUAGAAUUCUCAGCCUUCGGAGCAUUCGGCAAGCCCAGCAGUCUCUCCACAGCGGAGGCCAAGGCUGCGACUUCACCAAAGGCCACGACGUCCCUGAGGCAUCUCUCAGAAUCCUCUGGAAAACCCCUGAGCACAAAGCAAGAGGCAUCGAAGCCCCCUCGGGGAUCCCCGCAAGCCAACAGGGGUGUCGUGCGGUGGGAGUACUUCCGCCUGCGUCCUCUGCGGUUCAGGGCCCCAGACGAGCCCCAGCAGGCCCAAGUCCCCCAUGUCUGGGGCUGGGAGGUGGCCGGGGCCCCCGCGCUGAGGCUGCAGAAGUCCCAGUCGUCUGAUCUGCUGGAAAGGGAGAGGGAGAGCGUCCUGCGCCGGGAGCAAGAGGUGGCAGAGGAGCGGAGGAAUGCUCUCUUCCCAGAGGUCUUCUCCCCAACGCCAGAUGAGAACUCUGACCAGAACUCCAGGAGCUCCUCCCAGGCAUCCGGCAUCACGGGCAGUUACUCGGUGUCUGAGUCUCCCUUCUUCAGCCCCAUCCACCUACACUCAAGCGUGGCGUGGACAGUGGAAGAUCCAGUGGACAGUGCUCCUCCCGGGCAGAGAAAGAAGGAGCAAUGGGCUGGAGUACAGUAGCACGAUCUUGGCUCAUUGCAACCUCCACCUCCCGGGUUGAAGUGAUUCUCCUGCCUCAGCCUCCCGAGUAGCUGGGAUUA
rnacentral:sRNA from 1 species